rnacentral:rRNA from 1 species
AGACCCGAAACCCGGUGAUCUAGCCAUGGGCAGGUUGAAGGUUGGGUAACACUAACUGGAGGACCGAACCGACUAAUGUUGAAAAAUUAGCGGAUGACCUGUGGCUGGGGGUGAAAGGCCAAUCAAACCGGGAGAUAGCUGGUUCUCCCCGAAAGCUAUUUAGGUAGCGCCUCGUGAAUUCAUCUCCGGGGGUAGAGCACUGUUUCGGCUAGGGGGCCAUCCCGGCUUACCAACCCGAUGCAAACUGCGAAUACCGGAGAAUGUUAUCACGGGAGACACACGGCGGGUGCUAACGUCCGUCGUGAAGAGGGAAACAACCCAGACCGCCAGCUAAGGUCCCAAAGUCAUGGUUAAGUGGGAAACGAUGUGGGAAGGCCCAGACAGCCAGGAUGUUGGCUUAGAAGCAGCCAUCAUUUAAAGAAAGCGUAAUAGCUCACUGGUCGAGUCGGCCUGCGCGGAAGAUGUAACGGGGCUAAACCAUGCACCGAAGCUGCGGCAGCGACACUCAGGUGUUGUUGGGUAGGGGAGCGUUCUGUAAGCCUGUGAAGGUGUGUCGUGAGGCAUGCUGGAGGUAUCAGAAGUGCGAAUGCUGACAUAAGUAACGAUAAAGCGGGUGAAAAGCCCGCUCGCCGGAAGACCAAGGGUUCCUGUCCAACGUUAAUCGGGGCAGGGUGAGUCGACCCCUAAGGCGAGGCCGAAAGGCGUAGUCGAUGGGAAACGGGUUAAUAUUCCCGUACUUGGUGUUACUGCGAAGGGGGGACGGAGAAGGCUAUGUUGGCCGGGCGACGGUUGUCCCGGUUUAAGCGUGUAGGUGUGUGUUCCAGGUAAAUCCGGUUCACUUUAACACUGAGGCGUGAUGACGAGGCACUACGGUGCUGAAGCAACAAAUGCCCUGCUUCCAGGAAAAGCCUCUAAGCAUCAGGUAACAUCAAAUCGUACCCCAAACCGACACAGGUGGUC